rnacentral:rRNA from 1 species
GACGAACGCUGGCGGCGGGCUUAACACAUGCAAGUCGAACGAAGUGGCGGACGGGUGAGUAACGCGUAAUCAACCUGCCCUUCAGAGGGGGACAACAGUUGGAAAAGACUGCUAAUACCGCAUACUGAAUGAGGGGAUUGCGUCUGAUUAGCUAGUUGGUGGGGUAACGGCCCACCAAGGCGAUGAUCAGUAGCCGGUCGGAGAGGAUGAACGUCCACAUGGGGACUGAGACACGGUCCAGACUCCUACGGGAGGCAGCAGUGGGGAAUAUUGGACAAUGGGCGAAAGCCUGAUCCAGCCAGGCCGCGUGUGUGAAGAAGGUCUUCGGAUUGUAAAGCACUUUAAGUUGGGAGGCGUUACCAACAGAAUAAGCACCGGCUAACUUCGUGCCAGCAGCCGCGGUAAUAC